UACGAAGGGGGCUAGCGUUGUUCGGAAUUACUGGGCGUAAAGCGCACGUAGGCGGACUAUUAAGUCAGGGGUGAAAUCCCGGGGCUCAACCCCGGAACUGCCUUUGAUACUGGUAGUCUCGAGUCCGGAAGAGGUGAGUGGAACUGCGAGUGUAGAGGUGAAAUUCGUAGAUAUUCGCAAGAACACCAGUGGCGAAGGCGGCUCACUGGCCCGGUACUGACGCUCAGGCACGAAAGCGUGGGGAGCAAACAGG
rnacentral:rRNA from 1 species